UACGAAGGGGGCUAGCGUUGUUCGGAAUCACUGGGCGUAAAGCGCACGUAGGCGGAUUUUUAAGUCAGGGGUGAAAUCCCGAGGCUCAACCUCGGAACUGCCUUUGAUACUGGAGAUCUUGAGUCCGGAAGAGGUAAGUGGAACUGCGAGUGUAGAGGUGAAAUUCGUAGAUAUUCGCAAGAACACCAGUGGCGAAGGCGGCUUACUGGUCCGGAACUGACGCUGAGGUGCGAAAGCGUGGGGAGCAAACAGGGAUUAGAAAACCCCA
rnacentral:rRNA from 1 species